CCAGGCUUGCGCCGCCCAUGCCGUGCGCGCCGCCCAGGCCAGCCGCGGCCAGGCAGGCGCCGCCCAGGCCCGCGGCGGCCAGGCAGGCGCCGCCCAGGCCGGGCGCGCCGCCCAGGCCCGCGGCGGCCAGGCUCCCGCCGCCGGGCGCGGCGCCCAGGGUCCCGCCGCCGGGCGCGCCGCCCAGGCCCGCGGCGCCCAGGCCCGCGCCGCCGGGCGCGCCGCCCAGGGCCGCGGCGGCCACGCUCUCGCCGCCGGGCGCGCCAGUGACGGGGCCGGGACGGGAAAGUCCAACCCUAGGGGCCGGAUUGGAAGAUGAAGGGGGCGGAGGAGGUGGAGGAGGACCUGAUCUCCUCAUUCCCGGCGGCGGUCCGGCCACCGACGGACACGAGGCGGCGGCCGGCGCUGGAUGCGGCGGGGGAGGAGAAGGAAAAGUGUAGGAUGAAAAAACAGAGGGGCGGCGCGCGGAGGAAAUAAACAGAGGUCGAACCGGUACGAGAUGUGUGUAAUCGAUGGCAUUGGUGGGUAAUUUCCACCAACUCCAUGAGGGGUUACAAAACCAGCGUUUUGAGAGCACCCCCUUGGGUGCUCCGUGGAAUUGGUGGAUCUGGGAGCUGGAUCCAAUUUUUUUGCGGAUCUGG
rnacentral:lncRNA from 1 species